ensembl:lncRNA
GAGUCGCCCCGCCCCCGCCUCGCCUCUGCGCCUGCGCGCCGCGCUACUUCGCUCGGCUGCGCUCCCCGCGCGGGCUGGACCCGGAAAACUCACCUGCCCGGCGUUCCUGGCACCCGGACCAAUGGGGUUCUUUCUUCGGAAGAAACCAGCUACCUUGCGUCCUUCCGCAGCCUCUGUCUGUCCAGCCGCGCGCACUAGUGAAGUGAAAGUCGCUCAGUCGUGUCCGACUUUUUGCGACCCCAUGGACGGUAUAGUCAGUCCAUGGAAUUCUCCAGGCUAGAAUACUGAAGUGGGUAGCCUUUCCCUUCUCCAGGGGAUCUUCCCAACCCAGGGAUCGAACCCAGGUCUCCCGAAUUGCAGGCACAUUCUUUACCAGCUGAACCACAAGGCGGGCAGGAAACCCAGACUGUCACUGUCCUGUCACUGGGCCUCCCUAAUGCUGGCCCAUCCCCACCGCGUGCCUCUGCCUGGGAAGACAGGGCGAGUCGCCAGGGGCACCCACCCUCCAGAGCCUGCAGCUCUCCCCUUCUGCCACUGGUUCUCAAAGGUUACUACCCGUUGAAAUCACCCGGGGAGCUUUUUAAAAUAACUCUGACCAACUAAAAUCAGAGCCCCGGAUGUGGGACUCUCCAGCAUCAGCGUUUUGCCUAGCUCCCCAGGUGAUCCAGUGUUCAGCCUGGGCUUCUAACCGCGGACAAGACGCGGGCUCCCCAGACUUUCAUAAGCAUCAAAAUCACCUGGAAUCUUGUUCAAGUGCAGAUUCCCUCAUAGUAGGUCUGGGGAGGGGCCUGAGAGACUGCAGUUCUAUCAGGCUCCCAGGCAGUGCUGAAGCCGCUGGUCGGGGAUGGGAGGCUACAUCUGGAGAAGCAGCACCAGAUUGGACUGCAAGGAGAUCCAACCAGUCCAUCCUAAAGGAAAUCAACCCUGAAUAUUCAUUGGAAGGACUGAUGCUGAAGCUGAAGCUCUAAUACUUUGGCUACCUGAUGCGUAGAGCUGAUUCAUUGGAAAAGACCCGGAUGCUGGGAAAGAUAGAAGGCAGGAGAAGAAAGGGACGACAGAGGAUGAGAUGGUUGGAUGGCAUCACCAACUGAAUGGAUAUGGAUCUGAGCAAGCUCUGGGAGAUUGUGAAGGACAGGGAAGUCUGGCCUGCUGCAGUCCAUAGAGUCAAAAAUGAUGGAAUGACUGAACAACAACCACAUCAGCAGUGUUGGUUUAAACUGGGGGCUGUCAAGCAGAACUUUUACAAAGACCAGCUUACUCUCUGUUCACCACUAAAACGCAGCUCACAGAUAGAGGAACCUCUGUGUAAAAUGGGCUUGCAGUGACUGCAGGCAGGAUGACGUGACAGAGCAGAAGCUGAGCUCCCAGAGCAGAGCUUCCAGUCUAAACUCUACCAGUUUCAGCUUCUGAUAUGACUCAGACUCAACCCAACCUGUAACCGUCACCAUGUAGACUGCCUUAGGCCCAACCCUUCCCAAAAAGCUUCAUGAGGCCUCCCAACUGCCUGCCAGUCAAAGCUGCACAUGACCUAACCUGGGUCACACCUCACUCUCACUACUCUGCAAACCACAAACAUCAACCUCUGCCCAGGGUUACCCACUGGCUUCUGCAUUUACCUCACUUCUUGCCUUUCCUCCUGUCAUUCCUUAAACCUCCUUCUCUUGCUAAAAAUGUAGCUAUUUUCUCAAGGUCCAGCCCUUCCAUGAAAGCAUCCCUAUUUUCCCAAACUCAAAGUUAUCAUUCUCUCCUAUGAUAGCACUUUAUCAGUAUGUCUUUUAUGACACUUACCACAUCAUGCUUUCCUUUAUAUCAUAGUAGUUUAUGUCCCCUAUGACUUUAAUGUUCUUCAAAAUGUGGGUCAGGACCCACCAGUGAGUUUUGAAAUCACUUUUACUGAGUCAUCACCUGAAUUUUAGAAAAUGAAAUAGAAUAAAACAGAAGAUUUUAGAGUGCACUUGUAAAAAAUAAUUCUCACUUUGGUUUUUUGGUAAAAAAAAAACCUUGGAAGUCACUGCCUCACUUAGUAAUGUUUUCAGCUUCUAUGUACAGAAAGCAUCCAACCAGUUUAAAUAACAAAGGAUUUAUCAACUUAUAUAAUGAGAAAUCUGGACGUAGGGGCAGCUCUAGGUUAGUUUAUCAGUAACUUAUCAACAUCAAGGACCCAGAUUUUUGCCAUCUCACUAAUCCUUCCAGCUAUCUACCCUCAUGUUUGUAAGAUGGCUGCAGGGGUUCCUUGCAUCACAACAACCUCUAAAGGCAGAAAAAAAGGAGCUUAUUCUUUGGAUCUCUUUUUAUCAGAAAAAAAAACUUUUCCCCAGAACUUCCCCUAACUCUUAGUAGAUCUCCUUCUGUUUCUCUUUGAAAUAAAUUGAAAUAAAAUGAAUGGUAUGCCUAGCCAAGUGUGGCAAGGAAAAUAAAAAUUAGUUUCAAAGAGGAUCAGAGCACCUUCCUGAUCAGCACUUGUCUGAUCAGAAAUAUGGGGAAGACUAAUGAAUCUGUGGUAGGCAAGCAAAGAAUCUACCAGUCCCACACAAGGUACUUCAGGGUCAGACCAGGGUCCCUUUCUCUUCAUAUUCUCUGCAAGGCUUGCCACGCAGUAAGUCUAGACAGUCACCUCAAUUUCCAGUGGUAAAUUAAAUCAAUCACUUUGCCUCAAGGUAUAAAUAUUCAUGGGCUACAUAGAUCAAAUAUCCAAUCUGAGAUACCAGAGGCAUUCUGUAGACAUGAUUUGCCAAUAUAUAACUCACCCGAGGCUAGGGGUUUUCUCUGUCUUAAUUUUUCUACUGAAUUUUUAAACACAAAGGGCCAGACUAGCAGCACGGUACUUUGUAAUACCAUUUAAAUAAUAAAACACAUAUUUGUCACCAUGCAGAUGGCAACUGAAGAUCCCACAGAUGGAAUUGUGGCUCUCUGGAGGAGACGGUAAGCGUGUGACGGUGGGUGUAGAGAGACGGCUGUAUGGGGUGGAGAGACAUUACGUCAUCCCAGAUAUGGGCUUUCUUUGGGAACCUGGCAGGGUUACUGCUGAAUCACUCGGCUAGGCAAAUUAUUGGCGUGUGAGUUGUACAAAGGUCCCUGUAAUUAAGCCCUUGUUCCACCACUCUCCUUGGCAUCUUUCUGCUUAUAUUGCCAUUUAAGGCCAGACUUGAAAAUCUGAAUGCAUAAAAUAAUUCCCUCUGUAAGAGUCAGUGUCUUAGAGCAUGGAGCCAGUUUUGCUUUUCCUCCUCUUUUGCAUGCACACAUAUGUGUACAUACACACACACACACACACACACACAUCAAACCACAGGUUCAGGGGACUUUGGACUGCAGAAGGC